AAGGGCUUAUGACUCAAACAACACGUAACAAACAGCGAAUGAUUUUUCAUUUCUUUUUUCUCUUCCCAAACCCUUAGUUCUGCCACCGUACCUCACCGAUCGAAGUAGCCAUCGCCGGUUGGAGCAUCGGUAGUCGCCGACACAAGAGGGAAAAAAUGUGAAAAAAAGGGAACCCAUUUAUGUCCAACAUUUGAAAGCCCAAAAGUCAACCGGCUAUUUCCUUGGUUUUCCUUCCAUAAUCUCCGACGUUUAUUAACACACAUUCGAGAAGUCGUUGAAGUUUCAAUUCUCUCUUUGCAACUUGACAGUGAGUUAUUCCCAGUCUUCAUAUCAAGGUAAAUGAAAAGGGUUUUUUAUGAUGAUCCUUCUAGUGUUGGAGUUUAGGGGUUUGUUAAAUUUGUUGUCCAAGUCGCAUAUAGGUGGUGGUAUGAAGGCAAUUUUGUUAGUUUUUUUCUUGAAUGUGUAAUGGAGAAUUCUUGUUGGGUCUGCUGCAUACCCUAUACCUGUGUAUUGAAAAUUAAAUGUUGGUGACAUUUAAAUUUUCCAUCGCCAAAAUUGGAGAGAGUGUAGGCACUUCAAUCUUGGACGUAAAUUUCUGUUUAACUAAUUGCACGUUUUCUUGGUGUGAAAUUAUUCAAACUUUUAUUACGGUUUAUUUCAAUUUAUUCUUUGGUAUGUGUUGUUCCUCUAAUGGGUUUAGUGUUGCAACCUUGGUUGUUUUCAUUCCUGUUUCUUCCAUAAGGCACUUCGAUGUUGAAUGUUUAUCAAUUAGUUGAAGGGGUUGAAUAAGGGCAGUUUAUUCAGGUAUUGAAAAUGCUAUGUCCUUCGGUAAUUGACUUGUUUACUGUGAUUAGGUAGUGGUUGAUGUGUCUAGGUAGUCUUGUAGUUGUGAUUUUGUAUAAUUCAUUUUAAAAAAUGACUCUUAAUUAGCUUAUCCGGUUGGGUAUUCACAGUUUGUGGAUUUCUUGAAUUGAUAAAUAUUUUCUAUUUUUUAUUCCCAUCGUAAAAUACGCAGAAGGAACUUUGAAAUCUAUCAUAGUUGUAGAGCUAAAAACCAUUUGUUUGCCAAAUGCAAAAGGAAAAGCCCUUGCCCACGAUGUAAGUAUGGAUGUGAGAAAUGUUUUGCGAUGGAAAAGGAGAAUCACAAUAAGGGGAAACUAUUCCUUUGCUAUAGUCGAAAUUGUGGAUUUUGGGAGUGGGUCGUAAAAGAAAACUCAAGCGGUCAAUGUAGUAGCAAUAGCAUGACGGUCGUUAACCCCAUGAUGAAUGACACUGAUGAAGAAAUGUCCCGCAUGUUCAAAUCUUGGGUAAGGAUAAGUAAUGAAGAGGAGCUCUAGGUUUCAGUGAACGUGAGCAUCAAGAUGAAGAAAAUUGUUGCAGAUGUAGAUGGUAAAGGGAAGCGGCCAGCUUGACUUGAAGAUACUUAUCGAAGCUUUUGUCAAUGAAAAUUGAAUCAGCUUGUCCUUUAGCAUUUCUAGAGGCCGAAAGUUUUGUAUGUGAUGAAUUAAGUCAAGUAGUUGAGCUUUGUGGUACGAGGUUGUAGAUCAUGAUAGCUUCGUAACAAAACAAGCUUCUUUUGUAGACAUUCUGAUUAUGCUAAUUAGCACUUUAUGCUAAUUUAUCGUUUAUUUAUUCCAAGUUGACAAGCUUAAGUGAAGCAAAUAUUGCUACAAACACAUGAGAACUGCCAGUAGCAUCCAAAAUUCAAUCAGAUGGGAG
rnacentral:lncRNA from 1 species